CAACUGUGUGAAUUAAUGUGAACUGCAUACUGCUUUGAACAUCGACCUCUUGAACGCAUAUUGCGGCCACGGGAUAUCCUGUGGCCACGCCUGGCCGAGGGUCGGCUUAUAAACUAUCACGAUGCCCAAAAAGUCGUGGAUUGGAUGCUGUGCCAGCUGGCAUGAUUUCCUCAAUGUAGUAUUUAAUUAAUAUACUAACAUAUGAGGUGCCAGAUCUAUGGCUCCAUCCUAAUGUAUCCGGUUACAGCCAAGUCUAUAUUUAUUAUUAUUAAAUGAUAAAAUUGCUGUAUUACUGGAUUAUGCUCAGGUCGUGGCUCAAUGAUUUUGAACACGCUUGAUGUUAUAAUCCAUAUAUUAAUUAUAUAAAUAUAGACAUUGGAUUAUUUUGUAGCCGAUGGAGUGUAAAUACUCUAUAAUAUGGGUAAUUUAUUGAUUUAUAUGAUACCCUAAUUAUAUAUAUUAUGACCCUGACCUCGGAUCAGACGUGAUUACCCGCUGAACUUAAGCAUAUCACUAAGCGGAGGAAAAGAAACUAACCAGGAUUCCCCCAGUAACGGCGAGUGAACGGGGAUUAGCCCAGCACCGAAGCCUGUGACCAUUUGGUUACUAGGCAAUGUGGUGUUUAGGUCAACUUAUGGCAUUAUUGCUCUACCCUAAGUCCAGCAAUGAGUACGGCUUACUGGAAUGGCCCAUAGAGGGUGAAAGGCCCGUAAGGGUAGAGACC
rnacentral:rRNA from 1 species